GGGGCAGUGCGGCGAUGCUACACAUGCAGUCGAACGAUGAACCGCUUUCGGGCGGGGAUUAGUGGCGAACGGGUGAGUAACACGUGGGCAAUCUGCCCUGCACUCUGGGACAAGCCCUGGAAACGGGGUCUAAUACCGGAUAUGACUGUCCAUCGCAUGGUGGAUGGUGUAAAGCUCCGGCGGUGCAGGAUGAGCCCGCGGCCUAUCAGCUUGUUGGUGAGGUAGUGGCUCACCAAGGCGACGACGGGUAGCCGGCCUGAGAGGGCGACCGGCCACACUGGGACUGAGACACGGCCCAGACUCCUACGGGAGGCAGCAGUGGGGAAUAUUGCACAAUGGGCGAAAGCCUGAUGCAGCGACGCCGCGUGAGGGAUGACGGCCUUCGGGUUGUAAACCUCUUUCAGCAGGGAAGAAGCGAAAGUGACGGUACCUGCAGAAGAAGCGCCGGCUAACUACGUGCCAGCAGCCGCGGUAAUACGUAGGGCGCAAGCGUUGUCCGGAAUUAUUGGGCGUAAAGAGCUCGUAGGCGGCUUGUCACGUCGGUUGUGAAAGCCCGGGGCUUAACCCCGGGUCUGCAGUCGAUACGGGCAGGCUAGAGUUCGGUAGGGGAGAUCGGAAUUCCUGGUGUAGCGGUGAAAUGCGCAGAUAUCAGGAGGAACACCGGUGGCGAAGGCGGAUCUCUGGGCCGAUACUGACGCUGAGGAGCGAAAGCGUGGAAAACCCAAACGGAAA
rnacentral:rRNA from 1 species